rnacentral:rRNA from 1 species
GACGGUCUUGCUGUCACUUAUAGAUGGAUCCGCGCUGCAUUAGCUAGUUGGUAAGGUAACGGCUUACCAAGGCAACGAUGCAUAGCCGACCUGAGAGGGUGAUCGGCCACACUGGAACUGAGACACGGUCCAGACUCCUACGGGAGGCAGCAGUAGGGAAUCUUCCGCAAUGGGCGAAAGCCUGACGGAGCAACGCCGCGUGAGUGAUGAAGGUCUUCGGAUCGUAAAACUCUGUUAUUAGGGAAGAACAUAUGUGUAAGUAACUGUGCACAUCUUGACGGUACCUAAUCAGAAAGCCACGGCUAACUACGUGCCAGCAGCCGCGGUAAUACGUAGGUGGCAAGCGUUAUCCGGAAUUAUUGGGCGUAAAGCGCGCGUAGGCGGUUUUUUAAGUCUGAUGUGAAAGCCCACGGCUCAACCGUGGAGGGUCAUUGGAAACUGGAAAACUUGAGUGCAGAAGAGGAAAGUGGAAUUCCAUGUGUAGCGGUGAAAUGCGCAGAGAUAUGGAGGAACACCAGUGGCGAAGGCGACUUUCUGGUCUGUAACUGACGCUGAUGUGCGAAAGCGUGGGGAUCAAACAGGAUUAGAUACCCUGGUAGUCCACGCCGUAAACGAUGAGUGCUAAGUGUUAGGGGGUUUCCGCCCCUUAGUGCUGCAGCUAACGCAUUAAGCACUCCGCCUGGGGAGUACGACCGCAAGGUUGAAACUCAAAGGAAUUGACGGGGACCCGCACAAGCGGUGGAGCAUGUGGUUUAAUUCGAAGCAACGCGAAGAACCUUACCAAAUCUUGACAUCCUUUGACAACUCUAGAGAUAGAGCCUUCCCCUUCGGGGGACAAAGUGACAGGUGGUGCAUGGUUGUCGUCAGCUCGUGUCGUGAGAUGUUGGGUUAAGUCCCGCAACGAGCGCAACCCUUAAGCUUAGUUGCCAUCAUUAAGUUGGGCACUCUAAGUUGACUGCCGGUGACAAACCGGAGGAAGGUGGGGAUGACGUCAAAUCAUCAUGCCCCUUAUGAUUUGGGCUACACACGUGCUACAAUGGACAAUACAAAGGGCAGCGAAACCGCGAGGUCAAGCAAAUCCCAUAAAGUUGUUCUCAGUUCGGAUUGUAGUCUGCAACUCGACUACAUGAAGCUGGAAUCGCUAGUAAUCGUAGAUCAGCAUGCUACGGUGAAUACGUUCCCGGGUCUUGUACACACCGCCCGUCACACCACGAGAGUUUGUAACACCCGAAGCCGGUGGAGUAACCUUUUAGGAGCUAGCCGUCGAAGGUGGGACAAAUGAUUGGGGUGAAGUCGUAACAAGGUAGCCGUAUCGGAAGGUGCAGCUGGAUCACCUCCUUUCUAAGGA